GCCAGGCAUGGUGGUGCAUGCCUGUAAUCCCAGCUACUUGGGAGGCUGAGACAGAAGAAUCGCUUGAACCCAGGAGGCUGAGGUUGCAGUGAGCCAAGAUCGUGCCACUGCACUCCAGCCUGGGCGACAGAAAGAGACUCCGUCUCAA
rnacentral:SRP_RNA from 1 species